UGGCGACCGGCGCACGGGUGAGUAACACGUAUCCAACCUGCCGAUGACUCGGGGAUAGCCUUUCGAAAGAAAGAUUAAUACCCGAUGGCAUAGUUCUUCCGCAUGGUAGAACUAUUAAAGGAUUUCGGUCAUCGAUGGGGAUGCGUUCCAUUAGGUUGUUGGCGGGGUAACGGCCCACCAAGCCUUCGAUGGAUAGGGGUUCUGAGAGGAAGGUCCCCCACAUUGGAACUGAGACACGGUCCAA
rnacentral:rRNA from 1 species